ensembl:lncRNA
AAUGUUAUAAAGCUUUUACUUAAAACAUUUAACAAAAAAGAGAGAGAGAGAGAAAAGAAAGAAGUGUCUGUUUUGUGGAGACAAUUUCCAGACUUGGAUCUGCUUUCCUCUUUUCCCUCUCUAAACUUGUUUUUUUUUAAUAUACAUUUUUAACAAAAUUACUCAGGAUUGACCAACAGGGAUAGUACUGAAUAAGCUGGACAACAUAAGUCCUUUUUUAUCCACCAUUAAUUUUUUGUGAACACUUGGUAGGGAGAAUGCACGGCUCCAUUAUCUGCACAUCCCAAACUUCACAGGGAAGAUAUCCGUUUCAAAAACAUUUUCCCUUUACGGCAUGUAAAUAAAUCUGACCAGAGCUGCUGGGCAGAGAAAAACUCUUGUGCUGUCAUCUCUCUAUCCCUCUGGAUGCAACCUGGCCUUGAUAAUCAGCCUUGGCUCCUGUGGGAACAGAAAUGUGCUGACUAAAUGACUGUUCCUGUUAUCUGGGUCCCCUACUGUGCUGUGAGUUCUUUGCCUUAAUUUCAUUAACUGCCUUAAAGUUCAGUCGUGUGCAAAAUGUCUUUUUUUCUUCUUAUUACUCUUUUUUUCCUAUCAAAAUCUGCAUUAAGGUAAAUGCUAUUGCUUAAUGGCCAAAUCAGCGGGGUGAAGCAAACAAAGAGCUGCACUGCAGGUUCGUAUGUGAGUGAAUGCCAAUUCAAAUCUACUUAACUUCUGUAAAUUGAUUUGAAGGCAGCACCAGAUGUGCCACUAGAUUUCCAUUUAUUCCUCAUAGAAAGUCAAUGAAAUGCAUGUCAUCUGGAAAUUGUCCCAGGGAAGCAGAUGCAAUAUGUUUAUUGAGUCUUUGACUGAAGACCAAUUCUUGAAGUUUCAGAUUGGUGUUCAGGGUGCAAAGUGCCUCUCAGGAGACUUCCAGUAUAGUGGUAGGCCACAAUGCAAGUAGAAUCUGCUUUGUGUAAUAAAACAGAGAUUGAAAAGGUCUUCUGAGUAAUUCUGUGGAUGGAAAACUAAGAUCAAAUCAGAUAUUUAUACCAUAAUAUCCUUCUCUACCUAACUCAGAUGAGAGUACUUUGCUUCAGUGAUCAUCGUGGUAAUUCAGUUCAAUUUUCUUUUCUAUUCAAGAGUUCAUUUCCUGUGGCCAUUUUCUAAGAUCUCAGUAUUUACAGGAAACCAAACCCACUAACACAUCCCAGUUGGAGGGGGUUUCCACUGCUCAGAGAAAGGUACUGAGAGGUACAAAAGUUCAAACGUAGUCAGCUGCAGAUGAGCUCACCCUCACCAGUUCUCUGCAGCUGAUUAUAAUAAAAACAUCACCUCCCAUGUGACCAGCUCUCACCAUUGGAAAGCAAUAAUGUCAUCUCCAGUGGGAUCCUGGAUGAUAUACAACUAGUAUUAAAACACAGAUAUUUCUCCAGAUUUCCCCGCAGCCUGUAAUUUCCUUUAGUGGAAAGGACUGGCUGAUAGAGCACAGUUUAGAGAGGAUUAAGGGAUAAAUACUCUAUCAAUAUUAAAGAGCAAAAAGAAAAGAUGAUCACCUCAGUAACACAGAUUGCAGCUUGGCAGUCGGGGUAAACACAUGGGACUGCUUUGACAGUAAGAGUUGAUUUUUCUGUUUGUUUUGUUAUAUUUUGUAAAGGGAAGUAUACAGCGUUGAAUAAAAUCAGUUGCUAUUCGCAUUUACUCCUUCAAGCUAAAAGUGUUCUUUCAGGUUUGAUCAAAUAGUCCAUGGAAAGAUUAGCUUCAUGGGGCCUUUGAGCAAGUCAGUAAAGCAUUUAGACAGAAAAAGUGUAAUACAAGAAAUUUGUUUUUCCAUGCAAGACUGCUGUUUCCAAAAAAUAUCACAGACUUCUAAAUUUUGCUGUGCCUGAUGGCCUCAAGAAAGAGCAGAGACAUUCCUAUGAAAAGAAUAAAGGGGAGAAUACUUGCUGAGUAACUGUCUUUACUCAUUAAAGACGGGCAAUUACUUGCCUAAUAUUUAAUUUGCAGCAUUCUUUUCUUCCUUUCUGGAGAAAAAGGACCGUUGUAUUACGCAUGCCUGUCGUGAAAAAGGAGAUUACUCACAAACAAAGGAAUUCAGAUAUCCUGAGGAGCAUCAGAUAAGCAUUACAAUAUGCCCCAGAGUUUGCUUGAGACAACAUAGCUAUGGGGAGGCUAUAUAAUUUCUAGACACUCCUCUCAGCUAGUUUCCAUUACUGAGCAGGGAGGUGUGUAGUAAAAAAAAUGCAAUGUCGCUCCUCAUGGUUUUAGGAACUUAUCUCCCAUCUCUCUGUGUAGACAAUAUUUACGUGAACCCAAGGAAAGAAAUAUCCACCCAACCAAAGUGUCUCUGGAAAGACAGAAUGCAAUAAAUACUGUCGGUAAAUAUUCUUACUGGGACGUAUUCUUUUUCUACAGGGAAAACAGAUCUUCAAAAUAAAAGACACUGUUAUUUUGACAGAAUAAAUGGAACUGCUAGCAUUGCAGACUGACUAAUCAGUGCUUUGGAAAUUGCUGAAUAAGUAUGGCUUUAUCUUCACAAAAGCCAAACAGACCUAAGAAUGUGUAUUAACUGCUGACAGUUUCAAUAACUUAUCUGAAACCAUUUAUAGCUCUUCCCAGUCUUCAUUAUUUCUCUGAAGAGAGAUUGCUGGACUAAGUGGGCCUGAGAAGAUGCAUAAUUUGUAGUGUACCAUCUGUCUUCUUUUCUUAGGGCUACUUUCAAGAGGCUUCAGAAAGCGCAAAAUGGGCCUACACUUGAUAAAGCCCAAAAUGUUGGGUGGGGAGGGUCAUUUGAAAAUCAAAAGUCCUCAAGGACUUUUAGGUAGGUAUGUUAGUGCUGUAAUGCUGAGGCAACACUACCAGAGUGCUUUAAUGAUGCAGUGAUGCACAGGAUUCUGACAAUUAGUCAUUAUUGGUAACAGCCUGAAAGACGAGUCAGAGAAACCAAGGUUUGUCAGCCACAGGGUCACAGAACUGCAGGGGUUGGAACAGACCUCUAGAGAUCAUCAAGUCCAACUGCCCUGUUAAAGUAGGUUCCUUACAGCAGGUCACCCAGGUAGUUAUCAAGGCAGGUUUUGAAUAUCUCCAGAAAAGGAGACUCCACAACCUUUCUGGGCAGUUCUUGUUGAACCUCAUCAGGUUCCUCCCUGCCCAGUCUGCUCUCCAGUCUGUCCAGGUCUUGAAUGGCAGCACAGCCUUCUGGUGUGUCAGCCACUCCUCCCAGCUUUGUACCAUCAGCAAACUUGCUGAGGGUGGAUUCUAUCCCUUCAUCCAGGUCAUUAAUGAAGAUGCUGAACAAGACCAGACCCAACACCAACCUCUGGGAAACACCACUAGUUACAGACACUUCUCAGUCCACCCCAUUAUCCACUCUUCCAGGCUCUUCUCGGUGGUGUGUAGAGAUAGGAUAAUGAGUAAUGGCCUAAAACUUGAACAUAGGAAGUUCCGUACUAACGUGCAGAACUUCUUUAUGAUAAGGGUGAUGGAGUGCUGGAACAGGUUGCCUAGAGAGAAUGUGGAGUCUCCGUCUAUGGAAAUAUUCAAGGCCUGUCUGGAUGCCUGCCUAUGUGACCUAUUGUAGGGUACCUGCUUUAGCAGGGGGGUUUGACUCAAUGAUCUCUUGAGGUCCGUUCCAACCCCUACGAUUCUGUGAUUCUGUGAAACCUUGUUUAUUUGUACACAAGGUGACCAACUCACUAAACUAUGUAUUCUGCGGUAAAUAGUCAUGAAUUUAGAUUUUAUAUAAUUCCUAAUUUAUUCUCUGGCACUUUUUAGAAGAAAAAUAGCCAGCAUGUAUGUACACAAACAAUUUGGUAUGGUUUCCAAAAAGGUUUGGCUUUGGUCUAACUUACGCUGCCUGAAAACCCCACCUGUCAUGAAUUAUGUUUGUUCUUUCCUGCUUAUGAAAGAGGUACGUAGGCUGAGGAAGAAGAAAGCUAACAAAAACUGUGUGGAGGUACGGUGAUGUAGAUUGGAGCGUAGAAGUUAAAAUGACAUACUUCUUAGCAAAAAAAAAUUACUAGGAAGAGUUUCUCAUUUGACACACUUCUCUUUUAUGUUCUUAUGUAUGGCUAUCUGCUAAAGCAGCAGUGCUAAAGCUUCUAAACCAGGAAAGCUAUCCCAUCCAUAACUAGGUGUUGACUUGGCUAGGUGUUGACUACAGUGCUGAAUUUCUGGGUAUGAAAAACUGGGAGUAGACUUUUUCAGACAGCAAGAAUGAUUUGACAAUCAUUCCAUUAAAGCAGUCCAACUCGGAAAAGAUUUUGUCACUCAUUCCUCUAAAAAAGUCCCCAGACUUAACCAAAUAGGAUUCAUGCAAGAUAGUACUACCCAGGUUAUAUAAAAAGGAAAACUUAAAUAAUUUUGUGCAUCAUUUUUUCUGCAGAUUCUUAGCUCUUGGUUUGCACUGAGUUAGCAAGUGUCAGAGUACAGCAAAGGCCAGCUGUUCCCUAAGGGUAAGGGAGCUUUUGAGGGGCCAAGCAUGAAAAGAAGGACAGUAGGGCAGAGGCCCUAUUACCGGACAGAAUCCAGACCCAUGGUAGUCAAGCAAGAAGAGCAGAGCCAGACUGGAGAUAGCAGUCAGGGUCAGCCCAGAAUCCACAUCAUACAUGGUAAUGCAGCACAUCUGAGGAACACAAGUCAGAAUCAGUGCAAAAGCUGAAAUAAUGAGGUGUACAGAGCAAUUUACAAAGACUGCAGUAAGCAAGCUCUGCUGGAGAAUCCUUAGAUAGAAAGGAAGCACUAGUAACCUCCUGUGAUUAUCCUCUAUGAACGUAACACAGAAUCUGCAGCACAUCGCCUUUACACUAUUACCUCUCCCUGCCUGCACAGGUCAUGUUUGUUUAAGGCAAGAUAAAAUAUCUUCUAGGACAAGGGCCUCACUGCUUCCUUUCUUCAAUUCUGAUCUUGGUCAGCCCAUGGAAAAGCAACAUUAAAGUAAAAAGCACACUGCAGGCAACCCACCAUGUCCAUCUGCAUAUCAGUUUCACAUUCAAUUUCUGUACUGCUAAUGCCUUUGAGAAAUGUUAGAAGUACCCUGGAAGGAAGAAAACAGGCAAAGCAGCAGCUUCAUAAAUAGGGUGAUCAUUAGAGAGUUCUGCUAGCAAUAAGACGUAUGCUUAAAUUUUAUUUCAGUGAAAAACAUUCGUAAUCAGACAAGGCAUUCCGCUUGACAAAGGUAGGGAGGAAUCUCCCGUUGGAUUUAGCUGUUGGGUCGAGAAAGGAGGAAAAAAAUAGGAGCAACUUCUGCAAUUGAAUCAAUGGGUAGGACAGUGCUGCUCUCUACUGGUGAGGAACACACAUUGCUCUAGCAGUACACUCGUGCCUGGGCAUACAUGGAGGCAAUGCUUGAAAAGUACUUGUUCCAUCUUCAACACAAGCCUUUACAGAACUGAGAUGAAGACUGACAUAAGAUUAAUUACUUUCAACUCAGAUUUGGAGAAAUGUUAUGGUACAAGUCCUGUUCAGCUGGGCUGGGGAUUGGAGCUGGCAAAAGACAUUGUACUUACAUCUGGUUAUUUUUGGAGAGAGGUAGGUGUUAACAGAGGUCUGAUGAAGGAAAGUGAUAAUAUUUUAAUGAUACCUUUAUGGAUUAUUUAUGAGACAGAAUAAAAUUAUUUGCUGUAAAUAAUAGAAAGCAGACAAGAAAUUGCAGUUUUGAACUGCUUUUGAGAAUGGUAAAUUGAAACCAA